CUAGUAAUGGCAGGUCAGCAUACUGCCGUGAAUACGUUCCCGGGCCUUGUACACACCGCCCGUCACACCAUGAGAGUUGGGGAUACCCGAAGCCUGUGAGCUAACAGUAAUGAGGCAGCAGUCGAAGGUAGAGCCAAUGAUUGGGGUGAAGUCGUAACAAGGUACC
rnacentral:rRNA from 1 species